GACGAACGCUGGCGGCGUGCUUAACACAUGCAAGUCGAACGGAAAGGCCCUGCUUUUGUGGGGUGCUCGAGUGGCGAACGGGUGAGUAACACGUGAGUAACCUGCCCUUGACUUUGGGAUAACUUCAGGAAACUGGGGCUAAUACCGGAUAGGAGCUCCUGCUGCAUGGUGGGGGUUGGAAAGUUUCGGCGGUUGGGGAUGGACCCGCGGCUUAUCAGCUUGUUGGUGGGGUAGUGGCUUACCAAGGCUUUGACGGGUAGCCGGCCUGAGAGGGUGACCGGCCACAUGGGGACUGAGAUACGGCCCAGACUCCUACGGGAGGCAGCAGUGGGGAAUAUUGCACAAGGGGCGGAAGCCUGAUGCAGCAACGCCGCGUGCGGGAGGACGGCCUUCGGGUUGUAAACCGCUUUCGCCUGUGACGAAGCGUGAGUGACGGUAAUGGGUAAAGAAGCACCGGCUAACUACGU
rnacentral:rRNA from 1 species